rnacentral:lncRNA from 1 species
UGAUUUUACUGCCACCAGCAGUGUGUUGUUUGAACAGGUAUAAAGCCAGGGUUGGUGAUUUUACUGCCACCAGCAGUGUGUUGUUUGAACAGGUAUAAAGCCAGGGUUGGUGAUAUUACUGCCACCAGCAGUGUGUUGUUUGAACAGGUAUAAAGCCAGGGUUGGUGAUUUUACUGCCACCAGCAGUGUGUUGUUUGAACAGGUAUAAAGCCAGGGUUGGUGAUUUUACUGCCACCAGCAGUGUGUUGUUUGAACAGGUAUAAAGCCAGGGUUGGUGAUUUUACUGCCACCAGUAGUGUGUUGUUUGAACAAGUAUAAAGCCAGGGUUGGUGAUUUUACUGCCACCAGCAGUUAUGGAAUGUUUACUCCCGAGUAUAAUUCAUUGGCUGAUCCUUCCUCAUGACUUGGAUGGAAUUAUGUGAUCCUUCCUUAACCCAUAGGAAGUCGACUACUUCAAAAUGGUGAAAGUCCUCAAUGGCACUGCCCAUGCUAAAACAGGCUUUUGGGAUAGAAGAGUCCUCUAUCAUUCUGUAUGGUUGAUACUCAGGAGUUUUUCCUGACCACAGGACCUGAUCAGGGAUAUCUCUGGACCUUUUAUUGGAAGCCAUAACUAGGUACUUUACAUAGUUGUAGUCCAUAUAACCAUAACUAGGGCCCAGAGGUUUUCCAUGGUCAGGUCAUGUGGUUAGAAAAAACGUCUGGUCCUACUGAAGCAUUGUCAAGGAAACGGUGAGAUUUGAUUGUUUUGAUUCAACUUGUGAAAUCAAAUUGUGUAAAUGGUGUCGAUUUUCAAUGUAUUUGGGAGAUAAAGGUUCUGCAGGUUUCUUAGUUGGAGAUGAAUCAUUGGGAAGGAUUGCUUUGUUGCCCUAAGUUUGUUAAUGCUGAUGUAACAAGUCUAAACUUGUUCUAUACCACAUACCAAUUGGAUUCCUGGGUUGUGUUCAGUAGGCAAGAAACAUUUGUGGAAUGUAGUGAAACUAGGAGGUAGCUGACUUGAACAUGAUAAAUACUCAGUUUUGUUUUUAAAAAGGUUUUGCUACGGUUUACCCUACUGAUCACAGCCCUGUACUGAACACGUUUAGUAGCUGAAUCUGAACUUUUCAUGCAGCACUUCUGCCAACCAGCUUAUUCAUUCACACCCAAGGGGUGCACAUUUAGGUUUUUGCCCUAGCAUUGCACAGCGGAAUCAAAUAAUGAACUUAUCAUCAAACUUAGAUUAUUUGAAUAAGCUGUGUAGUGCCAGGGCAAAAACCAAAAUGUGCACCGAGGGGGGGGUCCUAAGAAUGUGUAGGUAGUGUCUACUGUCUGUGUGACCUCUGAUUUUCACAAUAUGUGAUUUCAUCCAAAUCCAUCACUUAUUUAUCAAUAAAAAACUAUAUCGAUGUUCCUCUAGUGCUAGACGGUGUGUUAUUUCCAAAUGCUGUGAGCCAUUUCACACCAAAGUAAUGUAUUAGACUGAACCUUUCAAUUAAAAUCAAAGGGAUUUAAUGGAAGGAAUAUGAAGUGUGAAUAUGAAGCCUAUUCCUCUCCCCAAGCGGUGUGCUCAUUCAGAACUUUGUCUCUGGCUGAUGUGUAGGCAUUGGUGAUGCAGAACUAGAUCAAAUUCUUUCAAAUGUGCUACACCUUAUUAGGUACGCCUUGGUAGCCUACAAUCAUUACAAUGGAAAUAGAUGUGAAAGUGGAGUCUUGCCUUGACGACCAGUUUCAAAACCAAGGACAUGUCAUGACGUUGGCCUCUUUGAGUACAGGGAGGACAGUUGACCCCCUUGCACCAUCCCCCAACCUACCUUCCCCCACCCAGUCCCUGUGGGAAGGAGUGGUAACAUUCCAGGAGAAUCUCUUGCCACAUGGCCCAUAGAGAGACACAGGAAAUUCUUCCAACUCACAGAAUUGGGGAGCCAAGCGACAUUUGUGUUCUGGAGAAGGUAUGGAAGAUUGGUGAAGAAUCCAGCUACGAACUGGUCCGCUUGGUACAAUUUUGUGAUACUCAGAAGAGACAAUAUAGCCAUAUUACCAUAAAACGGUUUAUAUAAUAGCCUCAGCCUUGAGACUUGCAUCCACAUGGUUGUAUAGAAUGUAUUAAUAAGGAUAAAGCUAUUUGUAAUACAUUGAGAUGCUAUGUACUGAUGUUAAUGUGAUAGAAUUGUAUUUCUGUACCAAGCUUAACUCAGUCAUCGGCACGCCCCCAGGGACACAGACAGGACCAGGCGUCAUGUGACAUGUUCCCUAUAAAACUAUACCCUGAUCUACUUUCUUGAGACCCGGCCUCCACUCCAUUGCGAGUUGGCCAAUAGGUUUGACCAUCCAAGUACUCUACUGAAAGUGAACUAUACCACGUGGUUAACUUUUAGACUAUUGAUACCGACAGAAUAAGAACAAGUCUUUGAUAUUAAUUAAUAGUCUGCAGCUAGAAAUGAUAUCAUUGAACGCGAAGACCAACGAAACACCCAUUCUAUGACGACAUUAAUGAAUGUCGCUUUGAAGGAUCCAUUCUAACCGAGAGAGAGAGAGAACUCUCCAACAGAACGACGCUCCAACAAGGAUCCCGACGACACACUGAGCGUAAAUAUAUAUUGAUUGCAAUUAUUCUCGAAUGAGUGAGCGUUCAUGUGCAAAGGAUUAGCAUAUCAAUUGUUAAUAUUAAUGAACUCUGUAGGGUCUUCUCAGCUGCCCUUUAUGACCCAUUGUUCACAAGACACCAGCCAUGCCUGUUAGCCACUAGGGCACAUUACUCUACCAAUUAUUUGUGAUGAUAAUUACUGUUUGUAUGCUUUCUGUGAAUUACUUAGUUUAGUAAAUAAAUUAUUUUAAGACAAUUGAUGUAUGGAUGACUCUUAGUAAAGGCUGGGUUCGUGCAGAUACAACAAUUUAUGACGUUUGGAAUGAGACUGGACGCGAGGUAAAAUACACC